AGAGCAGCGCGCCGUGGCCCGGCCGUCCAGCACGGCGCCGCCGCUCCACUGCUAACGGUGAUCAGUGGUGAUGGUAGUGAUAAUGGUGACGUGGUGACGUCAGCAUGGGCUGUGUGACGUCAUACUGCUCGCAAGGCACCUACAACAUAUCUGAAGAAGGGCGUUCUGACAAGACUGAGCAGGAGGCGACUGCGUCUUCAGCCGUUCAGGAGCCACUUCAGGCAGCCUUUGAGGGGACAGACGCUGAGGGGCACGCAGUGCCACCGCCCCUGGAGGAACUGCCUGAGGCCAUUCGACAGAGGGAGAUCCAGGAGAGCUCCUGAUUCUGAUCCUCUGCCCAAGACCCGCGCAGAUGAGACGAGAACAGCGAGGACAUUGUGUCGGACUCUGCUCAGUGAUAAUGACGAACGAAGCACACAGCUGAGAACGAGCGCGGAGAAUAUGUGAAACUAAUGUGGAGCUCAAUUAUUAUCGCGCAAGGAACACGAACUCCCAAACGCACUCAGUGAGCAAAGCGUGACAAAUCUAUUGUCAAGAUUGAUUAUAAAGUUCCGUGAUUUUGCCGUUUUACAAAGACUUCAAUCUCAAUUUUGUAGCUCCCUGGAAAAAUGAUUGGUGCCAUUCAAUGCGUACCUACUGCGUAGUUAGUUCAAUGGCGUACAUGUGUUGUGUCGUCAAUAAUGUUUUGUCGUCAAUAAUGUUGUGACGUCAUCAUGUUAAGCAGCAAAGGCAGGCACCAGGUGGCGAUUAAGGAAGUUUUUUAUUUGUAUUAUGGUGCGACAAAGCAAUAUUGAAGUAACAGCGUACGCUUGGAGAACUUUGUACGAUGAAUGAACUUACAUGUGCGUUGUGUGCGGUUCUUGGAUCAUGCGUGAGCCUUUAUUGCUGUGCAUUGAGUACAGUUUGAUGCCAUUUUGUAUUCAGGUUUUGUUCUGUGAGCAAUGGCAGACUUGGGACGCGGUCGUUAUUAACUUUUAAUGAAUCACUCAUGCAAA